rnacentral:rRNA from 1 species
UACGUAGGGUGCAAGCGUUGUCCGGAAUUAUUGGGCGUAAAGAGCUCGUAGGCGGUCUGUCGCGUCGGCUGUGAAAACCCGGAGCUCAACUCCGGGCCUGCAGUCGAUACGGGCAAACUGGAGUGUUGCAGGGGAGACUGGAAUUCCCGGUGUAGCGGUGAAAUGCGUAGAGAUCGGGAGGAACACCAGUGGCGAAGGCGGGUCUCUGGGCCGAUACUGACGCUGAGGAGCGAAAGCGCGGGGAGCGAACAGG